rnacentral:lncRNA from 12 species
CCAAGCAGCUUGGGCUUGCUGGUUUGCUGGAGGAGUCUGAGAGCAGGGGGAGGAAAAGGCAUGGCCAUCACAGGAAAAGGGAAUGGACAGGGCAUGGCAGCUGGCAGUACUGGCAGCACACAGGGCAAGCAAAGAGGAGCAGCCUCGGGGGCACAUCACACUCAGACUGGCCAGUGGGGGAUGCCUGGGGAGCUGUGCCAGAAACAGAGCAGGUAUGAGCUGAUCCCCCUCUCACCUCACACCUCCUGGGAACCUCUGAAAAGGAAUGAAGGGUCUGGAGCUCCUUGGUGGGUCUUUCUGGUGUGAGUUAAUCUCAG